UGUGCAUAUUAACUGGUUGGGUUCGGUACCUCGAAGAAGGUUAAGAACCACUGCUGUAGUAUGACGAUGACAAAGAAACUAUGAUGAUUCCGAAUCAAAUGUGGUGCAUGUUUGGGGAGCAUAAAAUGAUUCAUAUCACAUUAAAAAUUCAAGUCUUCAUUUGUUUAGGGUGUGUUCGCUACACGGGUGAUUGGCACUACAGACCAAGUCAGGCCACUAGGUCAUAAAUAUCCAAAAGUCAAAUGAAAACCAUUGAGUACUGUAUCAACUGCAAUUUCUUUCACUCUUUCGCUUUAGGAAGUGGCUGCGAUUGUUGUCUUGAGAGCAGCGCAUCAAGAGUUGAUUCAAAUGCUUCCCCGAAAACAAAGCAGAAAGGGAAAGUCCAAGUUUUAAGCGCUGAAGAUGUCCUCUUCGUAUCCGCCCGACGCGCCCUGUUUGUUUUGCUUGCUCCACUCCCGUCGGUCGCAGCUCACCUUCCCCCAGACGUUGAAAGAGCAGCAAGCACGCUUUGCUUUUCCACAGCCCCUUCCUGUUUCAAUCUGCCGUCUUUUCCAGUCCAACAAACGCGGAUCCGCUCCGCGCCCCCUUCCCCUCCGACGUUUGCCCUUAUCGCAGCCUUGCUCAGAGAUCAUAACCCCCUCCCCCCCCGUUAUCCCUUGCCCACCGAGGGAUGCAUUAGUCCAUCUGACACUUCCUGAUUCUCAAAACAAGUCUGGAGAGUGAGGUCAUGCUGGAAGGCCUCCUGGCAACAAUGACCAUGUGGCUGGUCGCAGAUGUGCAUCUCUCUCUCGUUUUUUUUUUUUUUUAAUUUACGGCAAGAGCGAUCACACCACCGCCAAUGGUGGCGUCCUUCCUUUACGAUGCUCAAAAGUGCAAUCUUGUCGUCUUGUUGUUUCUCCGGUCCGAGAUGAAAACCUCCAACGUGAGGCUAAUGCAAGUUUAAUGAAAGGCUGUGUGAUGUGGCUCUUUGGCACGAGUCGCAAGGUGAUUAUGGCGAGCAGCGGAGCGGGCCAAAGCACACGGAGGCCGACUACUCUUUAAAACCCAGACCCUCGCAAAGCCGCCUCUUUUCUAGGGAGACCGGCGGCGAGUGGCGCAAGCAAGUCCGGCUGCGGAAAUGACGAUGAGAUUUUUUUUGAACUCCCAGGUAAUUCCAGUAGAGGGACCAAGAGGUUAAACGCAAAUGAGGCCUUCGGUCAGAUACGCGGCUCAUACUUUUUCCAGGACGACAAACCAUCAAUCGACAUGUUUCCUAAGGGCAACAGCUACAGACAGGACAUGGUUCCUGAGGAGGAAAAACCCAAGAAAUAGAAGCCCAUCUGCUUGUUGCUCCUCUUGUGGACACUUCCAUGUCACGGCUCUCUUGGCCGCCCCCCUGGUAUCCCCGAUGCCAAGUUUCCUUUCCAAAACCCAAGGACUUUCCGUAGCGGGACAUCCUCCCAGCUGAGGGAAUGGAAGGGAGUUGCUGAGCGAGAGACGUCACACCAUCGCAACAUCGGAUCGUUUCGAGGUCAAAAACGUGAGCGUUUUUUUUUUUUUUUAACUGCAACACAUACCUUAAAAAAGAGAGGACGUCCUAAAGAUUCGAGUUUAUUUUAGAGGAUAUAUUCCUCAAUAGGUAGAAGUUUACAUCCUAAAAAGUAAGUUGUGUCCUGAAACUCGGCUAAUUUGAGGACUGUGGAACAACCAGAGGUCAGCUAUGGGAAGUUGAGCUGAAGCAACGAUAAUAUGGUGCAACUCAAAGCAGAAUGGCACGCAUCGUUUUGGGUUCAUGUAACGUACUCCAAGUCGAAUUACCAAACUCGAGUUUAACUUUGUGGACCCUUUCCAAGGCCUGAAAAAGUCACCAUAAAAACUUGGGCUAAGUGAAGAAAGGACGGGCUUCCUGGUGAGCCUCUGGGGUGGAGGACAACAAGAGGUCAAAGUCAGACCGUGCCCGAAAAGUGAUGGCUCAAGAGAAAACACAAAAAAAAAAAAAAAAAAAAAAAAAAAAGGACUGUUUUAAUUCUUAUCAAGAUUGUUUGAUGAAGAUAUCAAAAGUAUCCUUGUCAGCUUUUUUUUUUCAUUGGUUUCUAAAAUGUUGUUGGUCCUGGAUUGCCUUUAUAUGGACAUUCCAGGACACUCUGGGCUUCUGGCAGUGGCAUUUUAAUCUUCCUUAAAAGUUGGAUUAUUGUUUUAUUAGUGUACCGGAUCGGCUUCGGUCUGACUGGAUCAGAGCUCAGGCAAGAAGCUCCAGAGACAUUGCUUUCUAGAACACUGAGGUUUUUUUUUUUUUUUUAAUUGUCUCCAUAGUUGGAUCAUUGUUUUAUUACUGUUAAAUUAGUUUAAUUUGGGGUAAAGGUUUAGAGAAGAAUCUUGAGAGCGGUUUCCAAGUACCUGAUGUAACAGGCGGGAGGUUUUUACAAUAGGACACAGCAGUGACAUGGCAUCCCGCACGGACAGGUUACAAAAAAAAAAAAAAAA